GACGAACGCUGGCGGCGUGCUUAACACAUGCAAGUCGAACGGUGAAGCGCCUUCCUUUUUGGUGGGUGUGGAUGAGUGGCGAACGGGUGAGUAACACGUGAGUAACCUGCCCCCUUCUUCUGGAUAACCGCAUGAAAGUGUGGCUAAUACGGGAUAUUCUGUGUCUGUCGCAUGAUGGGUCUGGGAAAGAUAUUGUUUCGGUGGGGGAUGGGAUCGCGGCCUAUCAGCUUGUUGGUGGGGUGAUGGCCUACCAAGGCGGUGACGGGUAGCCGGCCUGAGAGGGUGGACGGUCACACUGGGGAUGCGCCACGGAGAAGACUACGACGGGAGGCAGCAGUGGGGAAUGUUGAACAAUGGGAGCAAGCCUGAUGCAGUGACGCGGCGUGAGGGAUGGAGGCCUUCGGGUUGUGAACCUCUUUCGCCAGUGAAGCAGGCCUGCCUAGUAUGUGGGUGGGUUGACGGUAGCUGGAUAAGAAGCGCCGGCUAACUACGUG
rnacentral:rRNA from 1 species